rnacentral:sRNA from 1 species
CGCUCUCCCAACUGAGCUAUCCCCGCUUGGGA